GCCAAUUAAUUUAACUUGGGAGUCAGAACAUGGGUGAUAAGGUCCGUGUUCGAAAGGGAAACAGCCCAGACCACCAGCUAAGGUCCCAAAAUAUAUGUUAAGUGGAAAAGGAUGUGGCGUUGCCCAGACAACUAGGAUGUUGGCUUAGAAGCAGCCAUCAUUUAAAGAGUGCGUAAUAGCUCACUAGUCGAGUGACACUGCGCCGAAAAUGUACCGGGGCUAAACAUAUUACCGAAGCUGUGGAUUGUCCUUUGGACAAUGGUAGGAGAGCGUUCUAAGGGCGUUGAAGCAUGAUCGUAAGGACAUGUGGAGCGCUUAGAAGUGAGAAUGCCGGUGUGAGUAGCG
rnacentral:rRNA from 1 species